rnacentral:lncRNA from 1 species
GGAAGCAGAACCAGGCAGAGGGAACAGUUGAAUUGUGAUGUAGUCACAACAAAGGCCUCAGCUGACCCCAUGGGGAGCUGUGAGCUGGGGGGACUUUCAGAGUCGCUCUGCAUUAAGUGGAAAAAAGAAGCUUGGAGAAGAGGAAAUGACUUUACCCAGCUAAGAAUAUGGCAAAGCUGAGCCAACUAGUCAAGUUUUCUGACCCCAAAUCCUGUAUUUCCCGUGACUUAUCUUGUGGAAGGCUGAGCCUCAGUUUCUCUGUCAGCACCAGAUGGGGACUUCUUCAGCCUGACACUCCACAACUCAAGGACAUUUGUUCUAGAACAGGGUCUGCAAACUAUGACCUCUGGACCAAAUCCAGCCCACUGCCU